UGGGAGCUUGCUCCCUGAUGUUAGCGGCGGACGGGUGAGUAACACGUGGGUAACCUGCCUGUAAGACUGGGAUAACUCCGGGAAACCGGGGCUAAUACCGGAUGGUUGUUUGAACCGCAUGGUUCAAACAUAAAAGGUGGCUUCGGCUACCACUUACAGAUGGACCCGCGGCGCAUUAGCUAGUUGGUGAGGUAACGGCUCACCAAGGCAACGAUGCGUAGCCGACCUGAGAGGGUGAUCGGCCACACUGGGACUGAGACACGGCCCAGACUCCUACGGGAGGCAGCAGUAGGGAAUCUUCCGCAAUGGACGAAAGUCUGACGGAGCAACGCCGCGUGAGUGAUGAAGGUUUUCGGAUCGUAAAGCUCUGUUGUUAGGGAAGAACAAGUACCGUUCGAAUAGGGCGGUACCUUGACGGUACCUAACCAGAAAGCCACGGCUAACUACGUGCCAGCAGCCGCGGUAAUACGUAGGUGGCAAGCGUUGUCCGGAAUUAUUGGGCGUAAAGGGCUCGCAGGCGGUUUCUUAAGUCUGAUGUGAAAGCCCC
rnacentral:rRNA from 1 species